rnacentral:rRNA from 1 species
GUGCCAGCCGCCGCGGUAAGACGAACCGAGCGAACGUUGUUCGGAAUCACUGGGCUUAAAGGGCGCGUAGGCGGCUUGUCAAGUCGGUGGUGAAAUCCUGCAGCUUAACUGUAGAAGCGCCUCCGAUACUGGCGAGCUCGAGGGAGGUAGGGGUCUUUGGAACUUCUGGUGGAGCGGUGAAAUGCGUUGAUAUCAGAAGGAACGCCGGUGGCGAAAGCGAAGGACUGGACCUCUUCUGACGCUGAGGCGCGAAAGCUAGGGGAGCAAACGGGAUUAGAUACCCGUGUAGUCC